rnacentral:ribozyme from 16 species
GAACACAAAAAAAAAAUAAAAAAAUUACAAGUAAUCAUUGUUAAAUAGGUUAUCACAUUUCGGAACCCACAAGGGCCUAGCUGUUUAUCUAAAUGGUUUUAUCUCAUGUAUCUUUUGAUUUAUCU